rnacentral:rRNA from 1 species
GAUGAACGCUGGCGGCGUGCCUAAUACAUGCAAGUCGAGCGAACAGACGAGGAGCUUGCUCCUCUGACGUUAGCGGCGGACGGGUGAGUAACACGUGGAUAACCUACCUAUAAGACUGGGAUAACUUCGGGAAACCGGAGCUAAUACCGGAUAACAUGUUGAACCGCAUGGUUCAACAGUGAAAGACGGUCUUGCUGUCACUUAUAGAUGGAUCCGCGCCGCAUUAGCUAGUUGGUAAGGUAACGGCUUACCAAGGCAACGAUGCGUAGCCGACCUGAGAGGGUGAUCCGCCACACCGGAACUUAGGCACGGGCCCGGCCCCUACGGGAGGGCGCCGUAGGGAAUCUUCCGCCAUUGGCCGAAGGCCUACGGAGCAACGGCGCGUGAGGUAAGAAGGUCCUCCGAUCCUAAAACCUUUUUAUUAGGGAAGAACAAAUGUGUAAGUAACUAUGCACGUCUUGACGGUACCUAAUCAGAAAGCCACGGCUAACUACGUG